UGAAAUGCAAGUUUGGUCGUUUUUUUAUCCAGUCGAAAUGUAUUGGGGACAGUUUAAAACUGUGUUAGUUAGCAUAUUACGUAGAGAAUAAUCAAUUUAAGGGCAUUUAAUAUCUUAAAUAUACAAUAUUAGGUCAAUGUCAGAAAAAUAUAAACUUUUUUGUACGAGGCUGAUAAACUGGGGAAGGGCAAGGUUCUACCGAGC
rnacentral:lncRNA from 1 species